rnacentral:rRNA from 1 species
ACUCCUACGGGGAGGCAGCAGUGGGGAAUAUUGCACAAUGGGCGCAAGCCUGAUGCAGCAACGCCGCGUGAGGGAUGAAGGCCUUCGGGUUGUAAACCUCUUUUAGCAGGGAAGAAGCGAAAGUGACGGUACCUGCAGAAAAAGCACCCGGCUUAACUACGUGCCCAGCAGCCGCGGGUAAUACGUAGGGUGCAAGCGUUGUCCGGAAUUAUUGGGCGUAAAGAGCUCGUAGGCGGUUUGUCACGUCUGCUGUGAAAAUCCAAGGCUCAACCUUGGACUUGCAGUGGGUACGGGCA